rnacentral:misc_RNA from 1 species
CUUGAAUUCAAUUCUUACAGCCAUUGCUAAGUUGGACGGAGAACAUUGUUCAACCACCACAUUGGAAGAAUUACGAGUUGCAGCUGUCAACUUGAUUUCUGAAUUGGGAAAGAAAUGUAAAGAGGAGAGCAAAGUUGUUACUCGGUCUAGCUGUGAGGCAGAGAAAUGUUUACAACAGUGGGGCGAAGACCAAGGUGUGAAGUCACAAUUGGAGAUAUCUUACUUUGAAGGAGCUGGAAGGGGAGCCAUUGCAAG